GCCCUGGUGGCACAACGGCUAAGCACUCAGCUGCUAACUGAAAGGUUGGUGGUUCUAACCAACUCAGGGGCU
rnacentral:tRNA from 1 species